GAUGAACGCUGGCGGCGUGCCUAAUACAUGCAAGUCGAGCGAACAGACGAGGAGCUUGCUCCUCUGACGUUAGCGGCGGACGGGUGAGUAACACGUGGAUAACCUACCUAUAAGACUGGGAUAACUUCGGGAAACCGGAGCUAAUACCGGAUAAUAUAUUGAACCGCAUGGUUCAAUAGUGAAAGACGGUUUUGCUGUCACUUAUAGAUUGAUCCGCGCCGCAUUAGCUAGUUGGUAAGGUAACGGCUUACCAAGGCAACGAUGCGUAGCCGACCUGAGAGGGUGGUCGGCCAGACGGGAUCUGAGACACGGUCCAGACUCCUACGGGAGGCAGCAGUAGGGAAUCUUCCGCAAGGGGGGAAAGCGGGACGGAGCAACGCCGCGGGAGUGAUGAAGGUGUUCGGAUCGUAAAACUCUGUUAUUAGGGAAGAACAAAUGUGUAAGUAACUAUGCACGUCUUGACGGUACCUAAUCAGAAAGCCACGGCUAACUACGUG
rnacentral:rRNA from 1 species